GGUUGGCCAGUAAUAGUAUUGCUCUUUUGUAGAUUGUGUAGACUGUUGGCCACGCUGAAAAAUGAAACAAAAUACACAAUCUACAAAAGAGCAAUGCUUUUAUUGGCCUACCAGACAAUACAAGCUUUCAAAGCUUUACUGGUUUCUUCAUCAGGGAAAAUACAUUAAAAAUAAGAAAAGUGAUGGUAUCAUUCAGCAGUAUUGCAACACAACACAUUUUGAUUGGUCAAUAAAAGCAUUGCUCUGUUUUGGAUAUCAAAUUUUGUUUUUCUAAUUAUUUGGGUAUAGUUAUCUGAAUAAAGAGGACCCAUUUUAAGCUAAGUAGCCCUAAUGUCGUCACAAUGAAAAUAUACCCUUAUUUUUCCUUUUCUAUUUUAACACCUUUGUCAAAAAGAUACUUUUCUUUGUAAACUUGUAGACUUCUAACUAGUAUUUUCACCCUAAAGUUCAUUCUCCUCAUUUACCAAUAUAAACCAGAUUUACUCUGCAUUGACACAACAAAUGUCCACAAUUUGCUUUUGGCAGAAUGCAAUAUAAAGAUAACCUAUGAGUUCUGAUCAUUUUACAACUGUUUAGCAUAGACUUUCCAAACUAAUACUUCAGUUAGUGUUGCAUAGGUACAGAAAUAAAAGCUUUGAGCAGAAAGCUUCUUAUUAUUAUUUGCUGUUUAUUGUGUUUGUUAUGCCUUCAGAUUGACUCUGACUUAUUGUGACACUAUCAGAGAGUUUUCUUGUCACGAUUUAUACAGAAGAGUUCUGCCAAGACCUAUCUUUAAGAUCAAGCCAAAGUUACACACUUUCCCAAAGUCAUCUAGCUGAGAUUUGAACCCUGGUCCCCAGAGACUUAGGGCCCUUCCACAUAACCAUAUAACCCAGAAUAUCAAGGCACAUAAUCAAUAAUAUCUGCUUUGAACUGGGCUACGUCCACACUGCCAUAUAUUUCAGUUCAAAGCAGAUAAUGUGGGAUUUUAUUCAGCAGUAUAGAAGGGGCCCUAGUCUGACAUUCAAACUAUUAUACCACAAUGGUUCUCAUUUAUGUACAGUUUAAUAGCUGCCCUUCAUAUGUGAACUUCAAGACUCACAACAUGCCAAGACAUAAGUAAACAUAUCUGCAUGUAUUCCAAAUGUAGACACAAUAUAAGCUUCCAAGUAGGGAGAAAUUAGCACCAUAUCAUAGAGUUUACAGGAUUAUCCUAUGGGUAAAAGUACAUUCCUAAACCUACAUGACAUGGCAGCUCUAAUUGGCUGUCAAGUAGAAAAAAAAUUAGUCUCAAAAGAACUAUGGAGCAGACUUACUAAGACUUCAAAAUCUACAAAAAUGCCCAAGACUUCCUUAAUGUUUUGAACUGCCUCUAAUCAUUUCUCCAGAACACCUGUAUUUCUGGUCUUUUCAUGGGUUCUAUCCACAAAUGUGCUCAAUGUUACAGACAAUUGAGGAGAUCUAUAUACAGGCAUGGGGUAGAUAUGUUCCUGAACAUUACUUCUGUAACAGAAAAUUUGGUACCAGAGAUAGAAAUCCAAUAAAAAGGAUACAGAUAGGUCCUUUACCCAAAAAAAGAAGAAGAACAGUUCAGCAUAUUUCAGUAAACUUUUCCAAAGUAACAAAAUGCAUGACUCAAGUAGUUGGGAUGAUUGUAAUUGGGGGGGGGGGGGGGGUGCAGGGCUGACUAUAUCAAGUAAGCCCUAUAUAAGGCCACCUGAAGGCCUUUCCCCAAAUAUGUUCAAGGUAGAUUUCACCCCUUUGACCAGCUUCUGCUGUUUUUAUUAUUUUUAUUUUGGUCUAUGGAUCUGUCCCUCUUUAACAUGCUGUGGCUGCCUAAUUUGCUUUAUCCUUUUCUCCUGGUUCUGCUGUUCAUGUAUAUUCUUGGAAUUCUUUGUAUUAAGCACAUACAGCUACCAUAACUUUGGUAUCUCAGAAUCUCAUACUUUUACAACAUCCUUUUACAGCUGUAUUGCUUUGUUUCCUGCUGUAACUCAACACCAAGUUUGUGUGUCUCCAGUCUCCUUCACCAAUGUGAAUACUGAUAAAUAACAUUUUAAAAACCUCCCACCUGGUCAGGGGACAAGGAAGAAAAGCGUGGGGCUGGACAGGAGUGAAAAGACUUUAUAAAUAGAGUUUCUUUGGCAGAGGUUUUGUUGACUGAGGGAUGCCUGUAUAAAGGAUGUGUGCCAAAAGUACAGUCCCCUUGCUUAAACAAAGAACAUUGAUAUAUUUAUAACAAAUUAUAAAAAAGGAUGUUUCCUACUGUUUUUGCAGUUUCAUCUUGGGCAUAUUAAGAAGUUCAUCUCAUCAUAAUGAAGAAUGACUAUGAAUAUGAAAAACAAAAUUGACAACUCAAAAAAGUUUGACAACUCAAAAUGACAACUAAAAAAACUUUGUGGUUGCUCUUCUAUCCUGCUUUUGAGUUUUCUUGCACAUCCUGUUGAUCAGAAUGGGACUCCGGAUGCUAGAUUAUUUCAUAGGCCUUUGGUCAGAUCCAGGUGAGCUCUUCUUGUGAAUAACAAGUUUUUCCCCCUUACGAAAGAAGAAGUAGGCCAACAAAAUGCUUUUUCUAUUCUAAACAAUGUUACAUAUCUGAUUUUGAUAUGCAACUAAACUAACCAAUUCUCUCUGACCAUACACACAUUUGCUUACCUGAGGACAACAUAAAGCAGUAGUUGAAAAAUUAACCAGAAAUCAAUGAAAGCUACAUCGUGUACCUUUCACUAGCUGUAGAUACAAAAAUAAUUAACCUCUCAUAAAAUCUCAUUUUAUCCCAAAUUGCUUAAUUAUUUCCUCCUGAACUUUUGCUCUUUCAGGGUGCUACAUUCUGUGACUUUGUAGUUCAUGAACUAUGGAAAAUAUAAAUAGUGUCAUAACUAUAGGAAAACAGCUCUAUCUAGAUAAGUAAUGUUGUUAUAUGCUUUCCAGUAGUUUCUGAAUAAAACAACAUUACAGCAACCCUAUCACUGGGUUUUCUUGGUGAGAUUUGUUCAUUGUGUUGUCGAAGGCUUUCAUGGCCGGGAUCACAGGGUUGUUGUAUGUCUUUCGGGCUGUGUGGCCAUGUUCCAGAAGCAUUCUCUCCUGACGUUUCGCCUGCCAUAGAUGUGGGCGAAAUGUCAGGAGAGAAUGCUUCUGGAACAUGGCCACACAGCCCGAAAGACAUACAACAACCCAGAUUUGUUCAUUGUUUACUAUUGCCUUUCUCUGAGACUGUGAGAGAAUAAUUUACCCAAGAUCAUCUGGAGGGUUUCCAUCCCUGAGUGGGGAUUUGAAUCCUGGUCCUGCUGUGUCUAACACUCAAACACUAAACUACUUGGGCUCUCUAAGACUCAUCCCUGUAUUAAUUAUAGCAUGUAAUGGCAAGGCAGGUGCAUACAUAUAUACAAAGAUGCCAGGAUUGAUCAUUGUUAGUUACAUUUAAGCUUGACAUUACUACUAUAAGACUACUGUUUACAAAUUUCAUUGUGGUGAGGAAGGAAGUGUUCAGUUAAAGCACCCAGCAUUUUAUGCGUAUGGUCUUUUGGUAUGGCGAGGUCCUGCAGUUUCAUAUCUGCAUGCAGCAUGCAAAACUAAUUUGAUGCAAUGCUUGUAAAGAUAUCUACAUAAGGAUCUGCUCUCUCUUACAUAAGGCUGAAACUGCUUAUUUAAGUGGAAUAUGCCAGCGUAGACUAUCUGGUUGUACAGCUGAGUUACUUUUUCGAAUAAUGUGACCUUUGUUCAGGAUUUCACUCUGAUGUGUUAUGCACAAUAAAGUCACAUAAGAGCAGGGUAGACCCUACCACUAGGAAAAUCAAAGUCGCUUCUUCAGGCGGCAGAUGUGGGGAAGUCAGCAGGAAGUUGCUGGAGGAAGGAGCUGGGACUGGGAGCUACACAUUUGCCCUGAGCUUUCUAAAGUAACUUGAUGCUUUUAGAUGUAGUGGAGGGAUUUGACCCAUCAGCCAGUGUGGAUGAUCAUUCAGCUGGCUUGUUUUACAUGGAAUGGCAGGACAAGUACCAUCUUACUUUUUGCCUCAGGCAGCAGAGUACUUUGAGCCAGUUUUGGCAAGUGUAGCAAGAAACACAGAUUAGUAGCAGAAAUUAUUUUGAGCCAUAGAACUGUGAUAAUAUGUUUAAUGUUUCUCCAGUAUGACUUUCCAAUGACAAUAUUUAACAGACAUUAAGUCUGUAAUAUAAAAUGGCUUUCAGUUACAUGUCUUUCUUGCAACAAAUAGAUUCACUCUCUCGAUCCAUCACUCUGACAGUCAUAAGAAAGCAGGGUGUUAUGAUUGAGCCUCAUGGCUCUGUUACUGGCAGACGUGGGCGUAAGACUCCUCGAGAGUCAGAUACUCUCGAGGAGCGAGAAAGAAAGAGACUGCGAGAUAUCUUUGCAGCACCAUCUGACGAAGAGUCUUUUGAGGGGUUUACGGAGAGAAUGGAGGAGGGGCUGGUUAGCUCGGAGGAGGAUGAGAUGGAUUGGACUCGGGUGAGGGAGGAAUUGGGUGCCACUGGCAAUGAUGGGAUGGAAGAUGAAUGGGGACCUUCAGGAUUAGACCCAUGGACAAGCUGGAGGGAUGGGACGGGAUCCACAGCUGGGGAUGCUGUGGGGCGUAGUCAGAGGUGUUCCAGCUCUGAUGAGGAAAGUGAUGAGGAAACGCCCGGGUUAAGGAGGGCAGCUGAUAGUGAUGAGGAUUUGUAACUGGCAUAAAAUGAGGCUUGGGAGCAAUUGCAAAUUGCGUUGGGCAAGGUAAUCUGGACGAACGCUUGGGAUCUGUGUGGGACGCUUUCCUGAAGACUGGUGUGUUUUCGUGUGCUGAUACCUUUGACCUUCCGUCGUCUUCUUGACGGACGCCAUCUCCUGUUUUGGAUUUCGGACUGAACUGACCACGGCUUGACUUCCCCCUACUCGGACUUGGUGAAACUACAAACGUCUGCUUCUGGCUUGAACUACGGAAAGGAACUGGGUCUACUCUACUGCUUCAAUCCUCGGCUGAUCUGUGUGUAUUGGAAAUCUUGCCUGCUGUGUGGAGGAGUGACUCAAGUUACUCAAAACACAGUGCUGGCAGCAGAGAGGAAUCUGCUGCCAAUUAAUUGCAUUCUUUUGAACACUUUGUUCCCCGGCUUCUGUUUUGUUUAUCCCCAGGCUGAAGCAAGCUGUUUUGUUUUUACCCGGAUUAAACUCCGGUUUAAUCCGGUUUAUCUUUUGAACGUUUUUCCUUGCCCCUUUUUGCUUUUAAAGGUUAAUACUGCCUGGCCCUUGUAUUUUAUGGGCAUUUUGAGUUCUGUUAUCCAAUAAACUCUGUUAUCUUUGA